AAGCACCGGCUAACUCCGUGCCMMCAGCCUCGRYAAUACGGACGGUGCAARCGUUAAUCCRAAUUACUGGRCGUAAMGCGCGCGUAGGUGGUUUGAUAAGCGAGAUNUGAAAGCCCCRCGGCUCAACCUGRGAACUGCAUUUCGAACUGUYAGGCUAGAGUAUGGUACAGGAGUGUGGAAUUUCCUGUGUAGCGGUGAAAUGCGUWCAUAUAGGAAGGAACACCAGUGGCGAAGGCGGCACUCUGGACCWRUACUGACACUGAGGUGCCAAAGCGUGGGGAGCRAACAUAGAUUACAUACCCUGGUASUCCACGCUGUAAACGAUGUCAACUAGCCGUUGGGACUCUUGAAUGUCUUAGUGGCGCAGCUAACGCAUCUAACUUGACCGMCUGGGUGAGUACGGCCGCAAGGUU
rnacentral:rRNA from 1 species